rnacentral:rRNA from 1 species
AUUGAACGCUGGCGGCAUGCCUUACACAUGCAAGUCGAACGGUAACAGGUCUUCGGAUGCUGACGAGUGGCGAACGGGUGAGUAAUACAUCGGAACGUGCCCGAGAGUGGAGGAUAACGAGGCGAAAGCUUUGCUAAUACCGCAUACGAUCUCAGGAUGAAAGCAGGGGACCGCAAGGCCUUGCGCUCACGGAGCGGCCGAUGGCAGAUUAGGUAGUUGGUGGGAUAAAAGCUUACCAAGCCGACGAUCUGUAGCUGGUCUGAGAGGACGAUCAGCCACACUGGGACUGAGACACGGCCCAGACUCCUACGGGAGGCAGCAGUGGGGAAUUUUGGACAAUGGGCGAAAGCCUGAUCCAGCAAUGCCGCGUGCAGGAUGAAGGCCUUCGGGUUGUAAACUGCUUUUGUACGGAACGAAAAGCCCCGGGUUAAUACCCUGGGGUCAUGACGGUACCGUAAGAAUAAGCACCGGCUAACUACGUGCCAGCAGCCGCCGUAAUAC